AGAUAUAAGGGCAAUUUGGCUGCAACAUCUGUCACCCCAUUGAUCACCAGGGUUGAUUCUGCUGCUGUCCCAUUCCUCCCUUAAUGUUUACACUUGCGUCCCUCUGAAGCUGUGCACUUGGUCUUCCGUCAAGGGUAAACAAGGAGCUGCGCUCCCCUGAUGGACCCUCCAAACACACUCUCAAGAAAAAGGCUCAUAUUUAUCUGACAGAGAGAUUAUUAAGCCAUAUGGAGGGAUUCUCUGCCUUAGACAGAGCUAAUUAACUCC
rnacentral:snRNA from 1 species